CCUACGGGAGGCUGCAGUAGGGAAUCUUCCACAAUGGACGAAAGUCUGAUGGAGCAACGCCGCGUGAGUGAUGAAGGGUUUCGGCUCGUAAACCUCUGUUGGCAGGGAAGAAAGAUAGCUGUAGUAACCGGCCUUUAUUUGACGGUACUUACUUAGAAAGUACCGGCUAACUACGUGCCAGCAGCCGCGGUAAUACGUAGGUGGCAAGCGUUGACCGGAUUUAUUGGGCGUAAAGCGAGUGCAGGCGGUUCAGGAAGUCUGAUGUGAAAGCCUGCGGCUCAACCGGGGAAGUGCAUCAGAAACUGUUGAACUUGAGUGCGGGAGAGGAGAGUGGAACUCCAUGUGUAGCGGUGAAAUGCGUAGAUAUAUGGAAGAACACCAGUGGCGAAGGCGGCUCUCUGGUCUGCAACUGACGCUGAGGCUCGAAAGCGUGGGUAGCGAACAGGAUUAGAUACCCUUGUAGUC
rnacentral:rRNA from 1 species